rnacentral:rRNA from 1 species
GGGAGCGCACAACCGGUGGAGCAUGUGGUUUAAUUCGAUACAAAGCGAAAGACCUUACCCGGACUUGACAUGUACCUGCACGGAUAUGGAAACAUAUCUUUCUUCGAGAGUGGUACACAGGUGAUGCAUGGCUGUCGUCAGCUCGUGUCGUGAGACGUCCACUUAAGUGUGGUAACGAGCGCAACCCUUGUUCUGUGUUAUAAGUGUCACAGAAGACUGCCUUUGUUAUACAAAGGAGGAAGGAGAGGACGACGUCAAGUCAGCAUGUCCCUUACGUCCGGGGGCUACACACAUCCUACAAUGGAGCCGACAACAGGUUGCGACGGAGUAAUCCUAAGCUAA